rnacentral:piRNA from 1 species
AAAACUGGAAUUCCUACUAAGAAGAGACU